rnacentral:siRNA from 1 species
AGCAUGUUAUCAGGAUGGA